GCAGGGAGUGCGCAUGCGGCCGAGUGCGGGACUGGGGCUCCUGGCUGUGGGUGUGGUACUGAGGCUUCAGCGGGUGCCGCCCGCCUAGAGGGAGUGGAGCGGUGAGCACGUCAGGGGUGGGGGGCGCAGGUCAAGCUUUCACCAGUUUUUAAUUCUUUGAUGGGGUAAAUUUGAGCAAUUUUCUCGACUUGUCGACAUUCGUUAUUAACUGAGCAGGAAUCAGGAGAGGAACCCGGUCCUCUCCACACAGCCCAGCAGGGAGACAGGAGACAUCAAUAUAUGUAAGAUGAACGUUGGUUCCCUCGGGAAAGGCGGGACAACUCGAAGCAGGGAGGGGGCUUCCAGGUCACAGAGAGCCUACGACUAGAUUUGCAUCUUUACGUCCUGCGCGGAGGCUGCUACACACAUGCAGAAGUCAUGCUGGUGGCCUGGACAUUGAAGGGAGAGAAGUGGAUUUGGGAGACAUUUAGGAGAUGGCACCGAAAGCGAAGGAAGCUCCUGCUCCUCCUAAAGCCGAAGCCAAAGCGAAGGCUUUAAAGGCCAAGAAGGCAGUGUUGAAAGGUGUCCGCAGCCACACGCAAAAAAGAGGAUCCGCAUGUCACUCACCUUCAGGCGGCCCAAGACACUGUGACUCCGGAGGCAGCCCAGAUAGCCUCAGAAGAGCACCCCCAGGAGAAACAAGCUUGGCCACUAUGCUAUCAUCAAGUUUCCGCUGACCACUGAGUCGGCCGUGAAGAAGAUAGAAGAAAACAACACGCUUGUGUUCACUGUGGAUGUUAAAGCCAACAAGCACCAGAUCAGACAGGCUGUGAAGAAGCUCUAUGACAGUGAUGUGGCCAAGGUCACCACCCUGAUUUGUCCUGAUAAAGAGAAGAAGGCAUAUGUUCGACUUGCUCCUGAUUAUGAUGCUUUCGAUGUUGUAACAAAAUUGGGAUCACCUAAACUGAGUCCAGCUGGCUAACUCUAAAUAUAUGUGUAUCUUUUCAGCAUAAAAAAAUAAUGUUUUUCAUAAGAAUGACAACUUAAUUAGAAUCAAAUCUAUAAGCUUUAAGAUUUUACGUUUCUAGUAAGUAUAAUAUUAGCUUAUUUGACUAGAACUCAAGCAGAAUAGGAAUUUAUGCUUGUUUUAUAUUCAAUAAUGAUAAUUUUGAAGAUAUAGUUGUUUUAUUACACCAAAAAUACUAUAUUAAUCUUAUUUAACUAAGUUUUAUCCAAAUCAUGUUAACUUAAGAAACAUUUGAUCAGUUCCUAUAUUUCUAGGAGUUUGGUGAAUAUUUAUUUAUAAAUGCUUAUUUUUUUCCAAGCCAAGUUAGAAUAGAGCACUUUUAGAGGAUUUCAUAAAUGAAUUUUGCAAUGCUCUCUGGAGUUAAGAAAAUAUCACAUAUACAUAACAUACAUUAUUAGAUACACAAACACAAAUAGAGAUUUCAUAGCUUUCAUCCUGAAAUUUCAGCCAUGAAUCAGGCAUAAAUAUUCUGAUGG